ensembl:snoRNA
UUCCAAAGUGUUGAGCUCAGUUCAGGGAAGCUUCCCUGUUCUGUUAACUAAACUUUGAGACACUGAAAUGGGCCAGGGGAGAUGAUUGGAGAGAAAGCAUUAUUCUAUUCAUUUACCUCCUAGUCCUACAAAA